rnacentral:rRNA from 1 species
GACGAACGCUGGCGGCGUGCUUAACACAUGCAAGUCGAGCGGUAAGGCCCUUUCGGGGGUACACGAGCGGCGAACGGGUGAGUAACACGUGGGUGACCUGCCUCUAGCUCUGGGAUAAGCCCGGGAAACUGGGUCUAAUACUGGAUAUGACUCCAUGACGCAUGUUGUGGGGUGGAAAGCCUUGUGCGGCUAGAGAUGGGCCCGCGGCCUAUCAGCUUGUUGGUGGGGUGAUGGCCUACCAAGGCGACGACGGGUAGCCGGCCUGAGAGGGCGACCGGCCACACUGGGACUGAGACACGGCCCAGACUCCUACGGGAGGCAGCAGUGGGGAAUCUUGCGCAAUGGGCGAAAGCCUGACGCAGCGACGCCGCGUGAGGGA